CGCCAACUCGACCUCACUGGCGGAGGCGCGCGGCCGCGUGGUCGACUUUUACAAAGCGGCGUGCCGGUCGCUGCCGGCGGUGAUGGAGAUCUACAACCUCCACGACGUCGCCACCGUCUCCCAACUCCGGUCCAACAUUUCCGAACAGUUCCGCAAGAACGCCCACAUCACCAACCCCAAGGUAAUUGACAUGCUCAUCUUCAAAGGAAUGGAGGAACUGGGCAACGUUGUCGAGCACUCGAAGCAGCGGCACCACAUCCUAGGCCAAUAUGUCAUAGGUCCCCAAGGAUCUACUCCGGGUUCUAGCACAAAAGACAGCACCUCUGACUUUCUCAAGAACUUCUACACUGGCAACUAUGUCUGACCGCAGCCUUGCUCUUAUGCCCUUCCAGUCUGCGCCUCCGCAGCUCUCUGCUUAUUGAAAUAAAGAUUCUGAGUUCAUUACUCUCAUCAUAUCGUGGAUGCAAAAAGAUUGUAUUUUUUUCGUGUAAUUUGAUGACGUUGAUUUCGACCGAAUCACUUCAAAAAUUCUUGUUGAAUGAUAUAAUUAUUUCUGGGCAUCUCUCUGUCUAUA
rnacentral:misc_RNA from 1 species